rnacentral:rRNA from 1 species
UUGAACGCUGGCGGCAUGCCUUACACAUCCAAGUCGAACGGUAACAGGUCUUCGGAUGCUGACGAGUGGCGAACGGGUGAGUAAUACAUCGGAACGUGCCCGAUCGUGGGGGAUAACGAAGCGAAAGCUUUGCUAAUACCGCAUACGAUCUACGGAUGAAAGCAGGGGACCGCAAGGCCUUGCGCGAACGGAGCGGCCGAUGGCAGAUUAGGUAGUUGGUGGGAUAAAAGCUUACCAAGCCGACGAUCUGUAGCUGGUCUGAGAGGACGACCAGCCACACUGGGACUGAGACACGGCCCAGACUCCUACGGGAGGCAGCAGUGGGGAAUUUUGGACAAUGGGCGAAAGCCUGAUCCAGUCAUGCCGCGUGCAGGAUGAAGGCCUUCGGGUUGUAAACUGCUUUUGUACGGAACGAAAAGACUCUGGUUAAUACCUGGGGUCCAUGACGGUACCGUAAGAAUAAACACCGGCUAACUACGU